AAUUAAACUGUCAUAUCAAUAUAUUUAAAAGUUAUAAAAAAUUUGUUAAUGCACAGAGUAAAUCUCAUGCAAUAAUUACAGAAAAAAUUUUACUUGUACAUUUCAAAAAGCGGUGUAUAUUUUACAUUCUCCAUUUUAGAAUUUACAAAAACUCAAAUAAUGUUUAACGAAAAUAAAAAAAUUUGAUGCGAUAAGUAAAUAAUUAAUAGCUCUUAAAUGGAAUAGGGUGUAAUAUAUACCAGUAGCAUUUUUCACAUUUGCCCUUAUAACUUUCAAAUAGCUCUAAUAUCAUAAAUACCCCUUAUAAUAU
rnacentral:lncRNA from 1 species